rnacentral:sRNA from 1 species
GGGACGGUUACCCAGCGGGCCGCCGGCGGUCGUGGGCGAGCUUCGCCAUGCAGAGCACUGACCUAGGCAACAAGGAGAGCGGCAAGAUAUGGCACCGCAAGCCGUCCCCGGCCACGCGGGACGGAAUUAUAGUGAACAUUAUUCACAACACUUCCGAUUACCAUCCAAAAGUUUUGCGAUUUUUGAAUGUGGCUUUUGAUGGCACAGGCGACUGCUUAAUUGCUGGGGACCACCAAGGAAAUAUUUAUGUUUUUGACUUACAUGGAAACAGGUUCAAUCUUGUUCAGCGAACAGCACAAGCUUGCACAGCUCUGGCCUUUAAUCUUCGUAGGAAAUCUGAAUUCCUUGUGGCAUUAGCUGAUUAUUCUAUUAAAUGUUUUGAUACAGUCACCAAAGAGCUAGUUAGCUGGAUGAGAGGACAUGAAUCAUCAGUAUUUUCGAUCUCUGUGCAUGCAUCAGGGAAAUAUGCCAUCACAACUUCUUCUGAUACAGCACAAUUAUGGGACUUGGAUACCUUUCAGAGAAAAAGAAAGCUGAAUAUUCGCCAGUCUGUGGGUAUACAGAAGGUUUUCUUUCUACCAUUAAGUAAUACCAUCCUCAGCUGUUUUAAAGAUAAUUCCAUUUUUGCCUGGGAAUGUGACACACUUUUUUGCAAAUAUCAAUUGCCAGCUCCACCUGAAAGCUCUAGUAUAUUAUACAAAGUGUUUGCUGUAACCAGAGAUGGCCGAAUCCUGGCUGCUGGAGGCAAGUCAAAUCAUCUUCAUUUGUGGUGCUUGGAAGCUAGGCAGCUCUUUAGAAUUAUCCAGAUGCCCACUAAAGUUCGAGCCAUUCGCCAUCUAGAAUUUCUUCCUGAUAGUUUUGAUGCUGGUUCUAAUCAGGUUCUUGGAGUACUAAGUCAAGAUGGUAUUAUGAGAUUUAUCAAUAUACAGACUUGUAAACUUCUCUUUGAGAUUGGGAGCCUCGAUGAAGGAAUUAGCUCAUCAGCAAUUAGCCCACAUGGACGGUAUAUUGCAUCUAUUAUGGAAAAUGGAAGUCUAAACAUAUAUUCUGUUCAGGCUUUAACACAAGAAAUAAAUAAGGUAUGUAUGAUGAAGUAAUCAACAUCAGCUUUUUAUAAACACAUAUUAUAUCAUCAAGAAUAAAAUCUUUAUACUA